ensembl:miRNA
ACGCGCCUGAUGCGGACCUGGGUUGGCGGAGUGAGGCCCAGUGGUCACCGCCGCCCUCCGCAGGUCCAGGUUGUCGUGCGCAUGCGCCU